rnacentral:misc_RNA from 1 species
ACACCUCAACUCUCAUGGUUUGCCAUGAUGAGCUUGGACUUUGGGGGUCUUGCUGGCCUAUGGUCAGCUCCUCUAAAAUGAAUCAGCUUGCCAGUGUUUGGUGGCAUCACAGGUAUGAUAACUAUCUACGCUUGUGAAUUUCCACCAGAUAACCUUCAGCAAUGAAGGUUCGCUGGGGCUCAUAAAUGUCUCUCCUCGGCGGAGACGGCUCUUUUGAAU